UGUGUAGGCGGCCCUAUAAGUAUGGUGUGAAAUCUCCUGGCUUAACCGGGAGGGUGCGCUAUAGACUGUGGGGCUCGAGUGUGGGAGAGGAAAGUGGAAUUCCUGGUGUAGCGGUGAAAUGCGUAGAUAUCAGGAGGAACACCGGUGGUGUAAACGGCUUUCUGGACCAUAACUGACGCUGAGACACGAAAGCGUGGGUAGCAAACAGGAUUAGAUACCCUGGUAGUCCACGCCCUAAACGAUGCAUAUUUGGUGUGGGUCAUUCAGUUGAUCCGUGCCGGAGCUAACGCGUUAAAUAUGCCGCCUGGGGAGUACAGUCGCAAGGCUGAA
rnacentral:rRNA from 1 species